ensembl:misc_RNA Metazoa_SRP Metazoan signal recognition particle RNA
GCUGGGCGUGGUGGCGGGCGCCUGUAAUCCCAGCUACUCAGGAGGCUGAGGCAGGAGAAUUGCUUGAACCCAGGAGGCAGAGGUUGCAGUGAGCCAAGAUCACACUACUGCACUCCAGCCUGGGCAACAGAGCAAGACUCUGUCUCAA